GACGAACGCUGGCGGUGUGCUUAACACAUGCAAGUCGAACGGUAAGGCCCUUUCGGGGGUACACGAGUGGCGAACGGGUGAGUAACACGUGAGUAACCUGCCCUCAUCUCUGGGAUAACAGUCGGAAACGGUUGCUAAUACUGGAUAUGAGCUUGCAAGGCAUCUUGUGGGUUGGAAAGAUUUUUUUUGGUUGGGGAUGGACUCGCGGCCUAUCAGCUUGUUGGUGAGGUAGUGGCUCACCAAGGCUUCGACGGGUAGCCGGCCUGAGAGGGCGACCGGCCACAUUGGGACUGAGAGACGGCCCAAACUCCUACGGGAGGCAGCAGUGGGGAAUAUUGCACAAUGGACGGAAGUCUGAUGCAGCAACGCCGCGUGCGGGAUGACGGCCUUCGGGUUGUAAACCGCUUUCAAUUGUGACGAAGCGUUUUUGUGACGGUAGCAGUAGAAGAAGCACCGGCUAACUACGUG
rnacentral:rRNA from 1 species